UACGGGGGGGCAAGCGUUGUUCGGAAUUACUGGGCGUAAAGGGCUCGUAGGCGGCCAACUAAGUCAGACGUGAAAUCCCUCGGCUUAACCGAGGAACUGCCUGUCAGACUGGAUGGCUUGAGACCGGGAGAGGUGAGUGGAAUUCCCAGUGUAGCGGUGAAAUGCGUAGAUAUUGGGAGGAACACCAGUGGCGAAGGCGGCUCACUGGACCGGAACUGACGCUGAGGCGCGAAAGCGUGGGGAGCAAACAGGG
rnacentral:rRNA from 1 species